rnacentral:rRNA from 1 species
UACGAAGGGUGCAAGCGUUGUUCGGAUUUAUUGGGCGUAAAGCGCGUGUAGGCGGCCCGGUAAGUCCGCUGUGAAAGUCGGGGGCUCAACCCUCGAAUGCCGGUGGAUACUGUCGGGCUAGAGUGCGGAAGAGGCGAGUGGAAUUCCUGGUGUAGCGGUGAAAUGCGCAGAUAUCAGGAGGAACACCAAUUGCGAAGGCAGCUCGCUGGGACGUUACUGACGCUGAGACGCGAAAGCGUGGGGAGCAAACAGG